rnacentral:lncRNA from 1 species
GCGACACCACGGUGGAGUACUGCACAAUUAGCCGUGGCUGCAGCAGGAGCGAGGUGUGCUCAACAUCGUCCACCAAGUGUAAAAAUGAAGCCUCCACCAUGGGCAAGAGCGCGAGCAUUGACCCAAACCAGUCAUCAGACAACGACGAAGCUCUGGCUGAUAGCACAUCCUCAGUUCCCUCCAAGGAGUCUCAGAGCGAGAUCAGUGUCAAGGUCAUGGAUGCAGAUGAAGAGGAGCGGCCUGCGUCGACUGUUAGUCUUUCCUCUCAGAUCCUUGCGUCGCUCAGGGAAGAUCAGGACGAUGAAGAUGAUGACCUUCCACCAAGUGCUUCAAGAGCCUGCAUAUGUUCACAGAAUAGUAAUGCAGAGGAGGAAGAGUCCACCAGAAGUGCUGUUUGGUGUGCAGAAACAACACCUAUGCAACAUCUAUCCCCCAGACCUCAGAGUAGUAGGGCGUCCCCUGUGGGCUCCAACAAGUCCAAGAAGUCAGUCAAGGCUUUGUCUUCGAAACCAGCAGACGGACCAGAUGACCAAGCAUCAAGCAAGUCUGAAUGCAAAGCUGCUGAUGAAGCAGUGGAUGCAACCGAAGCUGAUGGCGGUAUUGCUGAAGCUACAGUAGAAGAGGAUGGACAAGAAGCAAACCCUUCAGAGGAUACAACACCCAAAGACAUAGAAACAGAGGAGAGGGCCUUGAGCUCACUGUCUGCCAAAUCAAAUGUCUCUACCAGGUCCAGGACGUCCAAAGUUGGGGUUUCAAGAGUUCAAGAGCAAAAGGGAGAGAGAUCAUCAAGUGCCAUGUCAGUCAAAUCUAAUGCCUCAGCAAAGUCAAGAUCGUCCAAUGUUUUAGCUCUAGAAUUGGAAGUGCAAGAACAUGAGACAGACAAAAGACCCUCAAGUGCCAUGUCAGUUAAAUCAAAUGCCUCAUCAAGAGCAAAGUCUAAAAUGUCAGAAGUGGCAGCUGAAGAAAACCUUACACCAAAAGAAGAUUAUGUAAGAGCAUCAAGUGCUUUGUCUGUUAAAUCUAAUGCCU